rnacentral:rRNA from 1 species
UACGGAGGGUGCAAGCGUUAUCCGGAUUUACUGGGUUUAAAGGGUGCGCAGGCGGAUAUGUAAGUCAGUGGUGAAAUCUCUAGGCUUAACCUGGAAAUUGCCGUUGAUACUAUAUAUCUUGAAUGCUGUGGAGGUAAGCGGAAUAUGUCAUGUAGCGGUGAAAUGCUUAGAUAUGACAUAGAACACCUAUUGCGAAGGCAGCUUGCUACGCAGAUAUUGACGCUCAUGCACGAAAGCGUGGGGAUCAAACAGG